rnacentral:sRNA from 1 species
CGGGGUGUCGCUCGGCGGCAACACCUUCCUUUCACGUUCCGGCUCUGCGAUCGCCCCUGGCCUGGGGUGCUACCCGGUUCGUGCCGCCCUGCUGGCGUCAGAGCAGUGACGAUGACGCGCCCG